UUAUUAGAGGACAGUCAACGCCCAAUGCAUUCUGGUCCCUGUGCAGAAGAAACUGUUCGGUGUCUACAGGAAUUUGAGGUGUCCAUCCAGCCUCCAGAAUAACUCGGUUUUCUUUCACUGACAAUCGAAAAGCAGGUUGAAAGAGCGCAAAAUGUCUCAGGCGGAAAAAAUGAAACAGGGUCAGUUUACCAAUCCAGAGACCCCGGGGUAUGUGGGCUUUGCCAACCUGCCCAACCAGGUGCACCGCAAGUCGGUCAAAAAGGGCUUCGAGUUCACCCUCAUGGUAGUUGGUGAGUCUGGUCUGGGGAAGUCCACCCUCAUCAACAGCUUGUUCCUCACUGAUCUCUACCCAGAGAGAAUCAUCCCCGGAGCAGCAGAGAAGAUUGAGCGCACGGUUCAGAUCGAAGCAUCUACGGUUGAGAUCGAGGAGCGAGGGGUGAAGCUCCGCCUCACCGUGGUGGACACGCCCGGAUACGGUGACGCCAUCAACAGCCAGGACUGUUUCAGCACCAUCAUCGCCUACAUUGACGACCAGUUUGAGAGAUACCUCCACGACGAGAGCGGUCUGAACCGCCGGCACAUCGUGGACAACCGCGUUCACUGCUGCUUCUAUUUCAUCUCCCCGCUGGGCCAUGGGCUGAAGCCUCUGGAUGUACAGUUCAUGAAGGCCAUCCACAACAAAGUCAACGUGGUCCCUGUCAUCGCUAAGGCUGACACACUCACCCUGCGAGAGAGGGAGCGGCUCAAGCGCAGGAUCCUGGAUGAGAUUGAUGAGCAUAGUAUCAAGAUCUAUCACCUCCCUGACGCAGAGUCUGACGAGGACGAAGAAUUCAAGGAGCAGACCAGGACUCUCAAAGCCAGUAUUCCCUUUGCGGUGGUGGGCUCCAACCAGCAGAUCGAGGCCAAGGGAAAGAAGGUGCGGGGUCGCCUGUACCCCUGGGGCGUGGUGGAAGUGGAGAACCCCGAGCACAACGACUUCCUCAAGCUGCGCACCAUGCUGAUCACCCACAUGCAGGAUUUGCAGGAGGUGACCCAGGACCUGCACUACGAGAACUUCCGCUCGGAGCGCCUCAAACGGGGUGGAAGGUUGUCCUCCCAUGGUUAUGUUAUGUCUCCUGCUCUGUUAUAGGUUGUAUGGGUAUCAUAUAACUCGUAAGAGUUUGGACCCUUUGGAUUUUUUUGAGACCUUCCCCUAUAGCCAAUCCAGGAGAAGGGAGUGCUUUUACUGCCUUCCCAUUGGCUUGUCAUCAGCCCAAUGAUGCUCUGGUCUGUCCAAUCCCAUGAGUGAACUGUUGGAGGCAGGGGCAGGGCCAGGGGCCUGAGCCGGAGGAAAUGGACAAGGACAUGAUCCUGCAGGAGAAGGAGGCGGAGCUGAGGAGGAUGCAGGAGAUGAUUACCAAGAUGCAGGCUCAGAUGCAAAUCAAGCCUGACGGCGCGGGAGAUGUCCAGCAUGUGUGAAAUACACCACGGUUUUCAAGCUGUUGAGCUUGACCAGACAUGGAUGGAAGGAUUGCGGAAGAGAAGGGUGUGGAGAUGAGCGAUAACUGGUCUUUGUCUCGUACUGCUUGCCACUUUUUAGCUUAUUUCGCUCCUACUUGGAAUUCGAGUUUUUCUUGUUUUUAUUUUUCUAUAAGCAGUAUUGUUUUAUAUUUACACUUUCUUUAAUAUUCCAUAUUGCUUAUUAUUAAUUUCUUCUGUACUAUUGGACCAUGCCAGUUAGCCACCAAAUGGAGAAUAACCCUCCUUUAACCUGGAGUAUGCUCUUAUUAUAGUGGACAUUGUUACAUUAUUAUUUUUUUAUGUUGAGAAAGCUGAAAGCUGCUGCUUUUUCAAGGCUGUCCACUUGGGCCCCAUCUAAAACCACUCACAAAAUGAUCAAUCAUGUUGCCAACUGUGGCUCCAAGUUCCAAGUGGGAAAGGACAACUUAGUUAGCAACUCUCUUCUGUCUUUCAUGGAGCCAUACAGCUAAAACUAUGUUUUUUUCUUUAAUGGUUGUCAUGCCAAUGUUGGAGAAUUAUUUUAAAGAUAUUUCUUAAAGAUCUAGUCUUUCGAAAAGCAGCUAAAUUAUUUUCUUAAUCCAUGGAUUCAUUGACAGGGUUCUUUCUCCCACUCCCCUCUGCAUGCAACGCUUAACUCUGUCUGAUGUUGUGUUAAAACGACUGGUUAUGACUGAAAUGCAUGACACUGUGACCUUCCCAGUCAUCCUGUAGCCCUGAACCAAUGAAGGAGACAUACCUUGGUGUUUCUUUUACUGUACGUGCCUCUAUAAAUCCUGGUCCUGUAAAGUGUGAGUAGGAGAGCAGAUCUAGAAUCCGUCUAGUCUUUUAGAUCGUUAUGAAUAUGGUCAUAUAGACUGACGGACCUACCUUACAAAAAAGAUUGCAUUGUAACUGCAGUCGACUGUGGUAUUUUGGACACGGUCAUUUCAGAAUAACUGCAGUUACAGUGCAACAUUACUGCAGUAAGAAAGUGUUAUUUUGGAUACUGCAUACCUCAGUUAUACUUCAAUCUGUUUUUUGUAAGGGCUGAUCCUAGAUCAGCACUCCUGCUCUGAGACGCUCUGAAUAUGGGCCCAGGCUCCCUAUGCCCCCAGGUUUUAACAUAUUGUAAAGUGGUUUGAUAUUUGAGGCGAAAGUCCUGGCCAACUAAAAGUAAAUUGAAUUACUGUGAUGUUCGGACCAGGCUCAUGUAUUGCAGGUGACAUUGCUUUUCUUCGUGUGUGUCUCCCAUGAUAUUGAUGAUUGUGGAAUAAAGUGCAUCCAGUCUGUGAGAGGUCAUGCUGUAAAGGCACACUGUACUUCGUGCUAUAUGAUAUCCAUAUCUUAUGUUCUUUAUGGCUGUGUGUCAAUGGGUUAAGACUGACAUUUGGAUGUUGGACAGGACCAGUUAGUUGCUAUGGCUAUCGUCAUGGUGAUCUGGUUUGUUUGUCACCAGCUUUGCCCAUAUCUCCCUCAAGUCAAGCCAGAGUUCUUAACAUUCCGGUUUAUGCUGUUUUUAAAUCUAAUCACUGUCAAAUAAAACCCUUGAUGUAUACCA